rnacentral:rRNA from 1 species
UGAGUAACACGUAUCCAACUUGCCGUCUACUCUUGGACAGCCUUCUGAAAGGAAGAUUAAUACAAGAUGGCAUCAUGAGUCCACAUGUUCACAUGAUUAAAGGUAUUCCGGUAGACGAUGGGGAUGCGUUCCAUUAGAUAGUAGGCGGGGUAACGGCCCACCUAGUCUUCGAUGGAUAGGGGUUCUGAGAGGAAGGUCCCCCACAUUGGAACUGAGACACGGUCCAA